AGAUUAAGUUAUUAAGGGCGCACGGUGGAUGCCUUGGCACUAGAAGCCGAUGAAGGACGUUACUAACGACGAUAUGCUUUGGGUAGCUGUAAGUAAGCGUUGAUCCAGAGAUUUCCGAAUGGGGGAACCCAGCAUGAGUUAUGUCAUGUUAUCGACAUGUGAAUUCAUAGCAUGUCAGAAGGCAGACCCGGAGAACUGAAACAUCUUAGUACCCGGAGGAAGAGAAAGAAAAAUCGAUUCCCUGAGUAGCGGCGAGCGAAACGGGAAGAGCCCAAACCAACAAGCUUGCUUGUUGGGGUUGUAGGACACUCUAUACGGAGUUACAAAAGAACAUGUUAGACGAAUCAUCUGGAAAGAUGAAUCAAAGAAGGUAAUAAUCCUGUAGUCGAAAACAUAUUCUCUCUUGAGUGGAUCCUGAGUACGACGGAGCACGUGAAAUUCCGUCGGAAUCUGGGAGGACCAUCUCCUAAGGCUAAAUACUCUCUAGUGACCGAUAGUGAACCAGUACCGUGAG
rnacentral:rRNA from 1 species